rnacentral:rRNA from 1 species
UACGCAGGGGGCUAGCGUUGUUCGGAAUUACUGGGCGUAAAGCGCACGUAGGCGGGUCGUUAAGUCAGGGGUGAAAUCCCAGAGCUCAACUCUGGAACUGCCUUUGAUACUGGCGACCUAGAGUCCGGAAGAGGUUAGUGGAAUUCCCAGUGUAGAGGUGAAAUUCGUAGAUAUUGGGAAGAACACCAGUGGCGAAGGCGGCUAACUGGUCCGGUACUGACGCUGAGGUGCGAAAGCGUGGGGAGCAAACAGG